UUCCUAAGCAGUGACAUAGGAGCUGGGGUUUGGAUGACACCUGUAAUUGUUGCUAAGCUGUGUGGAAUCCUCUCCAACCUCAAGAUUCCGCUUCAGGAGGUCCGGGGUGGUGAUGCCCAUCUGCUACCAUACUUGGUAACAUCCAGAGAAGCUCCAUGUGUCCAAAUGUCCUAGCUGCAGACACUCAGUUGGCCGCUUGGCUGGCGAACACUUACAUCUUGGAGCUUCCAGUGCAGCCCCACCUGGAUCCCACCCCUCUAAUCUGAAGACCCCAGUAAUGUCUAAGGAGAGAAAUAAAGACAACUUUUUUUUUUUUAAUCCCUAUCCCAACUGGAAUGGACUGGGAGAAGGAAACCUUGACCCUUGCUGCUCCGUCAGCCGUUGGGAGGCCCCAUGCCCAGGACUGGGAGCAUCGGGGCAGGGCAGUUCCCAAGAACAGAGUGACCCAUUUGGCCGAGCCAGGUCAAGCCAAGAGUGAACGUCUUAAGAAAUUUGAGCACUUCAUGCCCUUCCAGUACUGCUCAGGUUCCAGGUUGGUUUUCUUCUCUGGUCUCCUUCCCUGGGCUCAAAUUCUCAACAACUGAGGGUGGAAGGACAUUGCUGACUCCAAAGUGCCUCCCCCUCGAAGGCCUGUGCCUUCCUGCUCGGUACCACAGGUGUUCCCACCCACAGUCCAGGGGAGAAUCUAUGCCCAAGGGACAAGGGGCACCAAAUUCCUCAGGCACCUAGGAGAUAUGCCUUACAUUCUCCCUGACAUGUGAAGUUACAGUAAAAGCAAGGGAGACAGCAGCCAAGGGUGAAACUGCUUGUUUUCACCCAUCAGCUUAGCCCAACUGACUUCCGCUGCUGCUGCUCUGGGCUCUGACUGUCCCACUGUUGUUACCACCGAAGUACUGGGCUUGAACUCGAGUUAAGAAGGCCACACGUGGAGACAGAGCGAAGGCAAGAAGGUGACGAGAAGACAGGAGGGUUGAAUUUGAACAGGGAAAAGAUCAAAAGUAAAGCCAGAAUCCUACUUGCUCUUUUUUCCAUUCUCCUUUAUUCCAUAAACACCUAGUUACAAGUUGCACAAAUCAAAAAAUAAAGGCAGAGGAGGGUGUAGGGAAGGUUUCUGUGAUGUGCAGGGAGUGGGAAGGGAGAAAGGGUUGGGAGCCAGUCCUCUCCCUCCACACACAGCCCUGGAUAAGGGCUAUGGCCUCUGCAGUGGGGGAUCUGAGGAGGUGGGCAAAGAUCCAGGGCAGCUGAGGGAUAGAGGAAGCCCCUAAACCCAGAGCUCACCCCAAAAGCCCCUUCGACGCAUGGCGAGGGUAGAAAGGGGAAGGUGAGGAGGCUCAAAGAUGGAGCAGCAAAAUGAAAAAUCAAGUUAGCAGAUACAGGAGAAGUGGACUCAUCAUGGUAGGGGAUUAAAGAAGGAAAAACUAGGUAAAGGGGGCAGUGAAAGGUUCUCCCUGAGACCCCCAGGGAGAGGUGGGGGGCCAGCUUGCCUGUUAAUUUAAUAUUAAAUUGGGAGUGGGAGCUGGAGAGGAAAAAGUUAUUUGGGGGAUGAUUUCUCAGCCUCUCAGCCUGUACCUGGAAGGGAAAGAGAGAAGAGCGAGUCAAAAGACAAAACGUAAAGGCCAGGAGUUGGGUUUACUCUCCCAUUCCAGUGGCAGCAUUCUUCUCUUCAUGCCAACUAAAACUUACACCAUCAAAGGCAGUAAUUGCUGGGCACCUGGACUCCUUCUGCCUCAUGACAAAGGAAUGUGCACAGGUACGUGCCUCAACCCCCCCUCCGUGCCUGACACCUUACAAUUCCUCCCUCUCAAUACUUACAAGAGAGGCUGAGGGCCUAGGGCCCUCACCAGUCAUAGCGGCGGGACUGUCGGGAGGGGGAGUCCUCAGGUCCCUGUAUAGCCAGGCGGGGAGGCCCCUCAGCCCUUCGUCCCCCACCCCCUGAAGCCUCAUGCCGUCGAAAUUCCAGAGGGCGCUGCUGCCGGAAUCGGGAUGUCUCCCUCCGCCAUUCAUCAUCAAAUGCUGCAGCCUCACCUGAAGAGCACAGAGACCAGACGUGACAUUUAAAUAUACAGGCUGGCUUCUGGAAGCAGAGGCAAGCGUGAGCCACAGCCUUCUCAACUCGCAGGAAUGGGACCAGUGGCUACCGGCCCAGGAGCCAGAAGGGUGAUGAGAAGAAAAGAAGGCUCACUCUCAUCCAGGUUGAUAUAAUCCUGCCGCUCCUCCUGGUCCCCUGUGCGGUGGUUUCGGGAGCGCUGGAGGAUGUGAGCCCGGUCUCGGAUGUGAUGCCCGAUGGACAUCUGCUCUAGCCCACUGUCCGAGUCCCGUACGGUCCUGCGAGUCUCCCGGAUCUGGGAGGAGGCAGAACACAGCACACAGCUGUCCCUUCCAAAGCCUGGCUACACCAAGCCGGGAUACACAAACCACCCCCAACCCAAUCAUGAAAAAAGAAGCCAGGGUUUCUGUGCGUGUCAUUCAACCCUGCGUUCUCUGGGAUAUCAGAAGCCCUUCAACUCACCCCGCCUGGUGCCGAGCGCAUCUCUGACGUCUCCUGGUAGACCUUGGGGGCACCAUCACCCGUAUUGGAGUAGGAGAUGACAGUGGAGGAUGAAAAGGUCUGGCAAUUGCCUCCAGCUGUCAUGUGUUCCUGUGGAGGAAAACACACAGCAGCACUGAACGGUCCCUCUGGCGAAGGGAUCCCACAUUUCAGCUGCCUGUUCCUGUCUGUAUCUUUCUUACAAAACAUGAGAAAUGAGAAAACAUCAGGACUCAUCAGUACCCCCCAAAUUCCUCUGAGUCCAACAAUAAACAAGAAAGACCUUUAGAGACUGAGCCUUAAUCGCAUGCUUAGUAAGACUGCUCCUGCUGCUUCCUAGUUAGGCCACGAGAACAGAUAAGGGAACCCAAUGCUCUCUGGGUUCAAUGACUUUAUCCGGCUUGAGCCUUUCCCUAGCGCACUCUUGCCUGCCCCCGCCUCAGAGGACUCAAGAAGGUGUCGCCAGCCAUCACUGAGAACAAGACUGCAAAAGUGUAUGGCGCAAGAGCCUCACCAUGUUCCCAAUCAUGUCGUUCAUCAUCCCAAACAUGUCCAUGAAGCCACCUGACUGCAGCAAAGAGAUGGAAAACAGAGUCAGGAAAGCAAAGUCAGUGCUCAGAUUAUCUUGUUUAGGCACCCACUAGACGCAUGGCUACACAUUCCCUUUCUCCUCUUCCCUCACACGGAGCAACACCUCUGUCUCUUCAUUAGCAUGGCCAGUACAUGGAAUGUUCCUCUCCGUGUUUCCCUUCCCACAUACUGCUACCUUCCUCCUCAGUCUCUAUGGCUGCUCUGAUCCCAUCUUUGUUCUCCUGACUGCCUUAUUUCCUCCUAUCUUUAAGAAGCACACCCAAGUAAAUGAAUUAUAACCUACAAAAAAAGGGGUGGGCAUGAAAUAGUAAAAAACAAAAAAAACCUCUAAAAAGCCAUCUCUUGCUGGCCCUUCAACUGCAUCUCAAUCCUCAGGAAGACAAACUUUGCUAGGCAAUCACAUUUCCCUAAUAGGUAUUGCUCCUAGAAUGCAGGGGUCAGUAAGUGAACAUCUUUAACCCACAGGACUCAGAGCACACAACAGGACCAGAGCUUUGUGAACACUAUAAAAAGAUUGUAGGGGCGCCUGGGUGGCUCAGUCAGUUAAGUGACAGAACUCUUGAUUUCGGCUCAGGUCAUGACCUCACACUUUGUGAGAUGGAACCCCGGAGUCGGGCUCUGCACUGACAGCACGGCACCUGCUUGGGAUUCAUCCUCUCUCUC